rnacentral:rRNA from 1 species
UACGGAGGGGGCGAGCGUUAUUCGGAAUUAUUGGGCGUAAAGGGCGCGUAGGCGGCCCGGUAAGUCAAAGGUGAAAUCCCUCGGCUCAACUGAGGAACUGCCUUUGAAACUGUCGGGCUUGAGGCCGGGAGGGGUAGCGGAAUUCCCAGUGUAGCGGUGAAAUGCGUAGAUACUGGGAGGAACACCAGUGGCGAAGGCGGCUACCUGGACCGGUUCUGGACGCUGAUGCGCGAAAGCGUGGGUAGCAACAGG